UCAGCCCGCCCACUUGUCUCUCAGGUGGCGUCGGGUACGGAGUGGGUUUGCUCGGGGCUCGCUGCCAGUUCCUAAGCGUCUCCACGCGGGAAGCGGCUGCCUUCGCUGAGGCGCGGCGUCGAGCCGAGCGUUGUGAGGCAGUCCCGCCGCCUCAGCCGACGCGCGCGGCCCGUCCAGGGCGCCAGUUCCCGACGCGCAGCCCCGGGCCGCGGGCCGAGCCUCCGAGACCAUGAGCUACGGCCGCCCGCCCCCCGACGUGGAGGGCAUGACCUCCCUCAAGGUGGACAACCUGACCUACCGCACCUCGCCCGACACGCUACGGCGCGUCUUCGAGAAGUACGGGCGCGUGGGCGACGUGUACAUCCCGCGGGACCGCUACACCAAGGAGUCCCGCGGCUUCGCCUUCGUGCGCUUCCACGACAAGCGCGACGCCGAGGACGCCAUGGACGCCAUGGACGGCGCCGUGCUGGACGGCCGCGAGCUGCGCGUGCAGAUGGCGCGCUACGGCCGCCCGCCCGACUCGCACCACAGCCGCCGCGGGCCGCCCCCGCGCAGGUACGGCGGCAGCGGCUACGGACGGCGGAGUCGCAGCCCCCGGCGCCGCCGCCGCAGCCGCUCUCGCAGCCGCAGCCGCUCCCGGUCCCGGAGCCGAUCCCGCUACAGCCGCUCCAAGUCUCGGUCCCGCACGCGCUCCAGAUCGCGCUCCACGUCCAAGUCCAGGUCCGCGCGGAGGUCCAAGUCCAAGUCGUCGUCGGUCUCCAGGUCGCGCUCGCGCUCCAGGUCCCGGUCCCGGUCCCGGAGUCCUCCGCCCGUGUCCAAGAGGGAGUCCAAGUCCAGGUCGCGAUCCAAGAGUCCGCCCAAGUCUCCGGAAGAGGAAGGAGCGGUGUCCUCUUAAAACCAUGCUGCGGUCUCCUGUUUGAUAAAAGAAUAUUGGCCAGUAUUGCAGAUUUUAACUGAUUUGGCUGAUCCUCCAGGGACCAGUUUCUGUGGGCGUGUAUUGGAGCCAGAUGUAUCGGCAAGCAACAUAAUGGAGGACUUGGGGAGAAAGGACCACACAAAAACUCAGUCCAUCAGAGUCCUUGGAACAAGCAACUGGCUAUUGAAAAGGUUAUUUUGUAACAUUUGUCUAACUUUUUACUUGUUUUAAACAUUGCCUCAGGUGGCAAACUUCAUUUUAUGUGCCAUUUUGUUGCUGUUAUUCAAAUUUCUUGUAAUUUAGUGAGGUGAACGACUUCAGAUUUCAUUAUUGGCUUGGAUAUUUAAGGUAAAAUUUCAUUUUUGUUUGUAUAGUGCUGACUUUUUUUGUUUGAAAUUAAACAGAUUGGUAAUUUGUGGCCUCCUGACUUUUUAAGGAAACGUGUGCAGCCAUUACUUGCUGAAUAGCCUAAAGCUGUCAAGAGAUUGACUCAACAUUGCCUUCCUUAAAAUUAAAAACCUACAAAAGCUGGUGUAAAUUUGUAUAUGCUAUUUACCUUCAGAUCUAAAUGGUAAUCUGAACCCAAAUUUGUAUAAAGACUUUUCAGGUGAAAAGACUUGAUAUUUUGGAAGGAUUGUUUACCAAACACAAUUCUAAUCUCUUCUCUUAUGUAUUUUUGUGCACUAGGCGCAGUUGUGUAGCAGUUGAGUAAUGCUGGUUAGCUGUUAAGGUGGCGUGUUGCAGUGCAGAGUGCUUGGCUGUUUCCUGUUUUCUCCUGGUUGCUCCUGUGUAAAGCUGCCUUGUCGUGCAGAAACAAAUGGCUGUCCAGUUUAUUAAAAUGCCUGACAACUGCACUUCCAGUCACCCGGGCCUUGCAUAUAAAUAAUGGAGCAUACAGUGAGCACAUCUAGCUGAUGAUAAACACACCUUUUUUUUCCCCUUCAUCCCCGAAAUGGUAAAUCCAGUCAUCUUCAUGUAUGAACUUAAAUAUGGAAAAAAAAAAAAUGUUCAGGAAGCAAAUGGUUUGUAACUUUGUAAGUACUUAACCCCUGGUGUACCUUUUUGCUUAUGAAUAUUCUGUACUAUAACCAUUGUUUCUGUAGUUUAAUUAAAACAUUUUUUUGGUGUUA